GUACCUUACAGACCGUAUUAUGCAAUGGGACUUUUUAGAAUCUUAAGGAAUUGUCACACAGCAGCUUCACAAGGACUCCAAGGUAGAAGAGAACUUAUCUUAAAGAGAUAUGAGGUUAUGGCUUUCUUAAAAGGGCUGAAACAAUUCAUGGAAAACCCAUAGAAUAUUAAAGAGAAUUGUUUGAAUAGAAGCACCGUCAGCUGAAACUAAGAAAAAAAAACAACAGAGAAUCAUUCCCAAGGAGCGAAACUGGGCUCCCAUCAAGAAAUGAACAUGUGUCUGUCUGUUUUCCAGAGUGACUAUGGACCAGUGACUACUGCAUGCCUCCCAUUCUAUUUCCUCCCUUUUCCAGCUUUAGUCUUUGAGUCAACUUCCUGACUUCCAAUUCUGUCUCUCCUCCAUGAUGGCCAGUGGCAAAACAAAGGCAAAGCAGCUUAUAUCUUGCAUUAAAGCCCGUGGUCUCUGAAGGAUCCAUGGUGCUGUGAGAUGUUGCUAGAAGCCUAGAUGAAUGAAUGAGGUCCUUCUGUCAGAAGAAGAAAACAAUGUACCUCCAUAUAGGAAAUGAGAAAUAUUCCCAAGGAGAUGAAACUGUGAUGAUACCCAAAGUGCUGCAACCAUUGCAAGAUGCUGUAUUUAUAAGAAAGAAAUAAUAACUACAGUACAUUUUCCUUCUUUAAGCCCUGGAACAGACAAGGCUACCAGAUGUCUCUUAGGAAAACACCAAUCUUCCAGAUGGGGAGUGAGGAAAGAUCCCAGUGUUGGCCAGGGAGACCUCCAUCUUCUAUGACACCUGUGCAUGUCCUUCAAGAUCGCCCCUGCUGGGGAGGAGAGUGAUGGAAAACACAUACCAGCUCCUACAUGCCUCAGCCUGGAAGAAUGGAUGCUCUGCAAGAGCAAGGUUUUGAAGCUCCCUUCCUCCCCUAGGGUGUUAGAGGAACUGGAUGGCACACAGAGUGACUAAAACCAUCAGUGGAAGCAGGACACACGGUGAGACAAAGACAAGAAACACAAAGGGAAGAAAAAGAGCAUAGUUCAGUAAAUAACAGAUCAGCAAAUUUAAGCUCAGCUGAGGAAUUCAGCUCCCAGGCCCUAGACUGCUGAGGAGGCUGGAUUCACGCAUAGUUGGCACUGGUGAGUCAUAGAGACGAGCCUUAAGCACCCUUGUGUCUUACUGUUAGGGGGGAUAACCCUCUUCAACUACUAACCAAAUCACAAAAUCUCACAUCAAAGGCUUAAUCUGCUUGCCUCUGUUUCUUGACCUGCAAAUUGAAUCUACCAGCAUUGUACUCUCCUUUGAUACACAUUAUUACUGUAAAAUAUUG